AUUGAACGCUGGCGGCAGGCUUAACACAUGCAAGUCGAGCGAUGAAGUUCCUUCGGGAAUGGAUUAGCGGCGGACGGGUGAGUAACACGUGGGUAACCUGCCUCAUAGAGGGGAAUAGCCUUUCGAAAGGAAGAUUAAUACCGCAUAAGAUUGUAGUAUCGCAUGAUACAGCAAUUAAAGGAGUAAUCCGCUAUGAGAUGGACCCGCGUCGCAUUAGCUAGUUGGUGAGGUAACGGCUCACCAAGGCGACGAUGCGUAGCCGACCUGAGAGGGUGAUCGGCCACAUUGGGACUGAGACACGGCCCAGACUCCUACGGGAGGCAGCAGUGGGGAAUAUUGCACAAUGGGGGAAACCCUGAUGCAGCAACGCCGCGUGAGUGAUGACGGUCUUCGGAUUGUAAAACUCUGUCUUCAGGGACGAUAAUGACGGUACCUGAGGAGGAAGCCACGGCUAACUACGUGCCAGCCGCCGCGGUAA
rnacentral:rRNA from 1 species